GAUGAACGCUGGCGGCGUGCUUAACACAUGCAAGUCGAACGGAAAGGCCCAAGCUUGCUUGGGUACUCGAGUGGCGAACGGGUGAGUAACACGUGGGUGAUCUGCCCUGCACUUCGGGAUAAGCCUGGGAAACUGGGUCUAAUACCGGAUAGGACCACUUCUUGGAUGUUGUGGUGGAAAGUUUUUUCGGUGUGGGAUGAGCUCGCGGCCUAUCAGCUUUUUGGUGGGGUCAUGGCCUACCAAGGCGUCGACGGGUAGCCGGCCUGAGAGGGUGUACGGCCACAUUGGGACUGAGAUACGGCCCAGACUCCUACGGGAGGCAGCAGUGGGGAAUAUUGCACAAUGGGCGCAAGCCUGAUGCAGCGACGCCGCGUGGGGGAUGACGGCCUUCGGGUUGUAAACUCCUUUCGCUAGGGAAGAAGCGUUUUUGUGACGGUACCUGGAGAAGAAGCACCGGCUAACUACGUG
rnacentral:rRNA from 1 species